rnacentral:sRNA from 1 species
UUCUAAACCCGGUAGUAGCGGCAGCCUCCUCCCGAUUUUACAUCGGGAUUCAUCGGAGCUAUAGCAGAUAACGGGACUGCUG